rnacentral:lncRNA from 1 species
UUUUUUUUUUUUUAACUUUUAAAUACAAUGAAGUUUAAUUAUAUUCCAUUUCUUUUCAACUCCUUUUGUUAGAUUAUGUGGAAAACAGAUUUCUUCCUUAAAAAAAAUCUGUAUCUGUACUUCGCUGUAUCUAAGUGGGAGAGCCAAGAUGGAAGACAGGGGGUAUAUUUAAGUUAUAUUUUGUCUUUUUGGCUUCACAUCAUUGAGGAAAUUUUUAUGUUAGUGGUUUUUACUUGUUCCAAGGCCUGAACAGAAAAUAAUUGUAGCUGAUGAUGAAAGUAGCUCUUCCUUAGUAGUAAUCAACACUUCAAAUGUAUCAUGUUUCAAAACACUGAUGUUAGUAGCUAUGAACUUAGUAUUUUCAGGUCAGAGGUUGUCCAGAUCUGUCAAGGAGCUUUGAACCUGUAGUGUGUACCAUCUCAUGUGGGAUUUUUUUUAGAGAGAAUUGUCAGGUUGCAAGAAAAGGGAGAUUUUCUCUCAGCAUAUAUGUUCUUGAAUACCUUCAUAAUCCAUAAUCUCUGAGUAGCACUUUGUCAUUUCUUUUCUAGAUUUGGUUACCUUGCUUAUACCUGAGACUCAGUAUAUAUGUGCUUUUAUGACAUUUGCCAAUAUAUAAGGAUGGUCACUGGGACCUAGAAAACUAGUGUUUUGUUGCCUAAUAGAGUGGCAGAAUGACAUUUGUAUGGAAAAAGAAAUCUCGAAUAAGGUGUUUAAAUGGAUAAAAAUGAAUGGAUAGAAAAAUGUAGACAUGAGAGAACUGACUCCCAAAAGUUGUCCUCUGACCUCCACAUAUAUGCUAUGGCAAAUGCACCACACAAACAUACGUACACAAAUAAAUAUUAAAAAUUAAUUAGAUAGGAGUAGAAAUAUUACACACACACACACACACACACAAGCUAGAGGACAAUGGAUGCUCUCUAAUGGUAGGUGAAGCAUCCCCUAAUGGUAGUAUAACAACACAUAGAUCGAAGCAGAAAUGUAGCCACCAGCCAGAGAUGGACCCCUAUACAGAGUAUAGAGAAUUCUGUCUUUGUGCUUCCAGGACUAUCAGAAUGGUGUGGUAGGAAGAAACAUUGGUUACUUGUGUGGACUUGGGUCUAGAAAAAAAAAAGGAAAGAAUAAUUUCAUAUUCUAAGGAAAGAAAAGGCUUGUGAUAGACCUUUUCAUUUCUCUUAGUCAAUGUAUGGAUGUGUGUGUGUGUGUGUAGUGGGGGACAGUACAGAAGCAUCGUCUGGCUAAUGAAAAGUUCUAUAGAGCAGGCUCACAGGACAGGCUAGUCAUGAGAGAGACCCCUCAAGGAUGCCGUCUUUAGUUAAAUCAUUUCCUAUUCUGAGCUGGACGGGGAACAGACAUAAGGAGGAAACCUGAGAAACCAAGAGUUCCUCGAAGCAUUUCCGAGUAAUAGCUUAUUCUAUAACGUGUAGAAAAGUAACUGAUCUGAGAAUAUUGGGGAAAGGUGGUUUGGGGAUUCCUUAUUUCAGAGUGUGAAAGAAUGGGCACCAAUCAAGCUGCUUGGAAGAGCCUUUGGAGUGGUAGAGUUGAGGCCUCUGUCUUGGGAAGAGGUCGUUUGUUGCUGAUAAAUACUACUGAAUUAAUUAUUCAGAGGUUGGGAAAGAUUUAUGGGCUUGUCCCUAAGCCCACCUGCAGAAGAAAGACUGUAAUAGCACUUCAGUACCAGUGCAGGGAGAAAGUAAAGUGGGUGACUCAUGAGCAGUGGACAGGGCUCUGUUACUGCUGAAAAUAUCUAGAAGGAGGCAGGGGUAUCAGCAGGCCGAGAAGCAGGGUGUUUGAGUUCUAGUGCUAAGCCUCCAGUCACUUACUUUCUUUAUUUUUAUUUUAUGUAUGUGAGUAUACCGUCACUGUCCUCAGACACAUGAGAAGAGGGCAUCAGAUCCCAUUACAGAUGGUUGUGAGCCACCAUGUAGUUGCUGGGAAUUGAACUCAGGACCUCUGGAAGAGCAGUCAGUGCUCUUUAACUGCAGAACCAUCUUUCCAGCCCCUGUAGUCACUUUCUAAGAGUGUGCAUGGCCACAGGCCAGAGGUUACCUCAAAUUAGGUCAACUAGACAUUUUCUAGGAGCUCAAAGGGGUUGAGCUAAGUGAACAUUCUGCAGUCUUUUGGGGAUGGAGACUGAGGUUGGACUCCUAUAUGUUCUCUUUAUACGUCAUUACAAGAUGGGAAUCACCUCCACUGUGCCCUUUGUUACUAGAAGGGCGCUGUUACGCCAUUUGACUGAUGGGGUUGGGUGUAUGGAAGCAUUGUAAAGGAUGGGCUAUAUUGUUUUUAAGAACAUUUCUACCUUGGCAUUUCAGAUGUCUAGGAAAUGGGACUUGAGUUUGGACACCAUUGACAAAAGUAUUUGUUCUGGCUGCUGUUUGCCUUUCCUGCUUUGGCAAAGAAACAAAGAGUAAAAUCAGGGAUUGCAGACCUAAAUAUUACUAUCAAUAUUCAGGAGUCCAUGUUUUGGCAGUGAGCAAACCCAAAAACUCUUAGAAUCACAAAUCUCAUUCAGUAAGUGGGUUCACACAUUUUGCCAAAGGCUUGUUGGAAGUGUUUUUAGUUUAUUGUUGAAUACCCUCCUGCAGGCUUCUUUCUCAUUCCCUGUGUAGCUCUUGUAUUAAAUUUAUUGAGUUCUAUACACUUAUUGUUGUUGUUAAUUAUACCACUUUGUCUCUCCUCUCUUCCUUCUGUUUUAGCAAAUAAUAAUUCUUGAGAGAACUGUUUUCGCUUUCCUUUAUAUUAUUUUAAAAUGUGUCUUCCACUGUUAAAUUAAGCCACCAACUAAAAAGCUGCUGACCACCUUUGUGCACUUUUAGUCCAGGAGGCUGCCUACACAUUUGCAGGUCGUUUGUUAACUUUCUUGUUCUUUACCCAUUUUCACUCAGCAACACAACUGUAGUGCCUUUGAUGCCAGCCAUCACCUAUAUGGCUCCUAGUUCUCUCUUAGUUCUAUGGCAUUGAAGUGAAGACAUUUGGCACAGUAUAUAUCAACAAUAUUGUCCUCCUUUGUACAACACCAGGACUACAGAGAUUUCUGUAUCAUUUUGGGCUUGAGAAAGUUGAGAAGAUAUAAAUUUCCUUGGUGUCCAUCAUAGGGAGUCCCAGGAACAGGGAAAGAUGCUAUCCAUAAAAACAGAGAUACUGGAGUGGAGGACCUCAUAUCCUUUCAGGCAUUGAAUUGUCCCCUUGGGGUUCUAAGUUGUCACACUGACUUUUUUCCCCAAAAGAACUGAACAUUUUUUAGGAAGGAAAGAUUGAACAUUCUUCCAAGUAGGCUGCACUUCCCUCUGCUGGAUCAAAGCUUCAUCUCAUAGGCACAAGUGAUGUGGUCACUGUCUUCUCAUGUGUAACAGGGCCCGUGCAGUAGCCUUCACCUCCUUGGGAGGGAGUCUAGGUCAUGAGGAAGGGGUUGAACCAUGUAACUGGGAAACACUUUCCCUCUAGCCACUGGCUGAGAUGCACUGUUUGUACUGCUGUGAUUUUUUUUUUUUUCUCUAUCCCUCCUUCUCCAUCAACAAGAAGUGAGUGCAGCCCCUGGCAAUGUGAUGACUAAUUAUUUUAGGAAACCUGAGUGAGUUACUGUGGUUGCUGUAAACAUCUAAACUUGAAAUCUGUUUUGUGCAAAGCAAAGACAGUGUUUGCAUGCACCAAGGGAAAACUGGUGGUAGAAAUUGCUGAACAAUUUGCUUCUAACUGUAGUGGGAAAUAUCCUUUUUGAGAAAUACGAUGGAUCAAUGUAAUUUUUCUCUUCAUGUAAAGCUGUUAUUGAAGUAACAACUUAUCUUAUUUUGCAGUCCUAAAGUAAUAAAUAAAACAUUUAUGGCUUGGAAUAAAUUGAGAGCAUCCCAUUACCUGUAGUAGCAGGCAAGUUCACAUUCUUUUAAAGCCUCAGGCAGUAACAUCAGCAGAUUUUUUUUUUUCUUCCUUAUUUUCUAAUCCAGAAGCUUCUAAUUUCUUUGUGUCAAAGAGCUUCCAUUCUGGUUCUGAGUAGGUGUCGAGGGACCCUUUCUGAUAUGACUACAUUUUGGAGAACCUCUUGUAAAUUGUAUUUAUCAUUAGUGCCCAGUAGGGACCGUGCUGUAUAGAAAGAACAUGGGCUACCAGUUGAUGUACAGUCAAUUUUCUAUGUUUGGUAGCUAGGUCUCUGACUCACAUUCAGACUCUUGAUCCAUUAGGUAUCUAGAAUUUUCUGACACUGGAACAGUUCUCGGGCUUAGUGGUUUACAGAAAGAACCUCAUCAUUGCUUUGGUCUUUUAAGAGUACCAGUUGCAUCCUGUUCUUCAUGUGUAUGCUCACACACAGCCUGAGGGCCUUCUGACCUGGCAGAAUUCCCAUGACCAUGUGGGGUUUUUCUUCCUUGUCCUUGGCUACACGGGAGAAUUGUCUCAGAUGAUCUGCUGGUUCAGGAUUGCCAGGUACUCAGACAAGAAUAACCUUCAGUUUUCCUUCAAGGACGAAGUGUGCCUUCUGAACACAGUGAGUCAAUUUUCCUGUUCAAACAUUUGCCACUUAUUUAUUAACAAGUAUUCAUUGAGUUCCCACUGUCUGCAAGAGUCUGGGCUGUGGGUUGUAUAGGAGAAAGUACUGGCAAAUUAUCCUUUAUUUAAAUAAGUUAUUUAAAGGAAGACAAGAUGAGUAGUUUCAUGUGUGGUUGGUUGAAAGCAGGGGUGGGUUUUUUUUUGUUUUUAAAUUUUUCUCCAAAUUUGUAUUAGUUGAUUUUCAUAACUAUGAUUGAAAUAGUAAACAGAAACAAUUUACAACAAUGGAUAGAAAUCUUAUUUGAACUCACUGUUUCAUAUGGGUUACAGUGUCUCCCUGCAUGGGAAGGCAUGGAGGAAGGAACAUGUGGAUGGAUUAGAAGGCAAGAGAGUUCAGACUGGAACCAAGGACAGAAUUACCUUCAAAGGCUGACCCCAUAGUGGCCCUUCAGUCAGCUAGGCACUACCUCCUAAUGUGCUAUAGCUUUCAAAACAGCACCACAAGCUGGGGAUGGAGUGUCUGAAACACAGACUUGCUAGAGAUAUUUCAGAUUAAAACAUAACAUUUGGGGAGAGACAAAAUGACCAAAUACUUGGAUGUCUGAAUUCUACUACCUUUUAGGAGAAGCAAAACAUGAAGUAUAAAAGUAGUAUCAAAGGGAAUGAUGGGAAAUAAAUAAGGAAAGUUUAACCCUUCCAUUGGUUAUCCACCAGAGCUUUCACUUUGUCUCCCUUCAUUCCUUCCUUCCUUCUUUACUUCGUUUUUUUUUUUUUAUUGAAAAUAGAUAUCUUUCUCAUACAAUAUAUCCUGAUUAUAGUUUUCCCUCCCUCUUCCCUUUCUAUUUCCUCCCCACCUCCUCUCCUCUCUGGAUCUACUCUGUUUCUUUCUAUCAUUAGAAAAGAACAGACUUCUAAGUUAACAACC